CGUUCCAAAACGAACACUCUCGUCGCCGUGAAGGCCCACCGCCGCCGCUUGGUCAAGAGCACACCUCUUGUGUUCGUGUCCUCCGUGUGGGUGCUUCAGGAAAAAAGGUCAGCGUGACUUUGGAGAAGGGCAGAAAAGACGUGCGGUGCUGCAGCUCACCAGCGGAGGGGAUAGGCGCGCAGGCAGACGCUCUUCCUCUGUUCCCGCUAGCGGCGGGCAGCUUUCUUUGCCCUAACCCCCCUCUCUCCUCUGUCUUUGCGUCCUUCCGACCUCCCUCUUCUUUGCAGUGCCGAGACGCAGUGUAGCAAGACGCGCAGACCGUGCGGAGUGUUUCCCGGCACUCCAAGGACACUGUGCAAGACACACACACACACACACAUCCGCACAUUUUUGUCUCCGUGUAAUAUACAGCACGGCCGUUGCGCACACCCCCGCAUGCGUUUGUGGGCGCUAGCUCCCCCCCUCUGUGUUUCCUCGCGCCUUUGAGUGGGACAGGGGGGGUUCAUGCUACCCGCCUCCCUGACGUUUGAGCCGCCAUCCGUGGUGGCAGUCUUCGCGUCGCAUGCGGUGUUGUGCUGGGAGCAGCCGCGCACUCCACACACCACGUCCUUCGCGGAGCACAUUGCGUGGGAGUAUCAGAUCGAGUACAACUGCUCCUGCAGAGUUAGACAGCAGCCGUACCGCACCACGGGCGGCAACGCCUUUGCUCUCCUGGCCACCCCGCACGAAGGUGAGACGUACUACGUGCGAGUCGUGGCCAAGGCCCGCUUUGCAGGAUCCACUGCUGGUCUCGUCUCUGCCAAGGCCGCGUUCACGGCGUCCUGCAAUGUGGCCAUACCCUGGCGCUGCUCUGCCCGACCGCCGGUGUGCGUCUUCGAUGCGCUCUACCUUAGCGCGAACGUGGAGACGGAGGACAUUGCGGCGCUGAGUGCCGCGCGCAGCUCCACCAUCGACAACGCGGCAGCGCUCGACGGGAAGAGUGCCUGCUACACCCUUGAAGGCGAUAUUGCUGUGCACACGUAUCGCAUGCUCUACAGCGGCACCGCCGCACUGCCGGUCGGGCAGGCAAGAACGGUAUACUACAUGGUGGCUACGACGCGGCUGCACACAGGCAAGCGCACCCGCGCAAUGGAGUUGCUGAGCAUGAUACAGCGCGAGGGGGCGUCGAUCGUGUUCUGCGGGAUUGGCGACGGUGGCCGUCUCGCCCUGCGCGCCGCCCUGACCUUCUUGUCGUUCCUCACGACGGCGUGCCCUGCUCUGUGCGCAUCGGUCCUGUGCAUCACCUACGGAACGCCCCGUCUGCUGCUAAAGGAGGGACCGCGUCUACUGGCACACACCCUCCCUCUAAGUGGGCAGCUCCUGCACUUCACGCAGCUGCCACUGAUCGAGCACACGCCUCUUGUGAGCGACAUGGUUGCCCUAUCGCAGCGGGGCUCUGGCGUCGCCGUCGACACACCACCGCUAGGCUACGCAAACGGGUUUUACCGCAACAUGCUAUUAGGGGUGCAGUGCCGGGUGACAGACGGGACUGGACUGCACUUCCGCCUUUCAUCGCCAGACGAGCUGUCUACCGAGGCGGAGGAGGCGGAGGCGUUUGACGUUGUAGGGCAGCUGCGCGCGUUAUCACAGCUCUUCUUUCCAUCUUCGCCGCCGUGGCUGUCGCCGUCUGUUACGUCCGUCAGCUGCUGCACGGAAGGACCGCUGCUGCACGUGAGUGUAGAGGGGGCUAACUUGCAUUACUGUCCUCGGGUGACGUUGACACCGUCGUAUCCUCGCGGCACCCCGCUCUUCCCACGUGUCGUCGCUAGCACUCCGCUUCAUCUCGAGUGCACUGCCUGCCUCCUGCCUUGGGUGCAGCAGCAUGCUGCUGGUCACGGCUUGCGUGACGCGGCUCCAUUGAACAUAUCGGCGUUUCUCCUCGUGCAGACGUCCCUGGGUACAGCCUUUGCUCCGGCGCCGGCGACGGUGGUGCUCCCGGAGGACUUGCUCGAACUGUUUUGCGCGGCGCAGCAGGGCUCUGCACCAUGGAGUACCGAAGCUGCUCCGGGGCUUGUUGAGUGCGCCUUGCAGCUGCAGCCGCUUUAUGUCUCAGCCGGCACUGGCGGCGUUGCUUUUCCAAGUGCCGCAGGCAACGCGCUGCACAAUCCGCUUUUCGAGUCCCUGUGCGCUCUUGCAUCUGCGGCUGAGGUCACCCUUUCGUCUGCAUACGCCGGUGCGCCGGCCAAGCCUGGUAGCGGAUUGCUGGGCUUCAUUAGCAGUGUGGGGGCUCGACUGUCUGCCAGGGCGGCGGACGCACUCACCGACGCGGUACCAGCACUGCGUGUGCCCGGCAUCGAGGCAGCCUACCUGAAGAACGCGCUUAAGGAGUGGACGGGCACUGACUUCACAGGCGCCGAGAUGUGGAGGUCGCGAUGCGCGUCGUGGAGGCAGCGCAUCUUCGGCGGGCUGUCGCUUCUCAGUGGCAUCUCGUACCGCAACACGCUUGUGCAAAUGCUCAGCGUGCUCGACGGCGACGCGGAGGUGGACGAGGAUGCCCCGCUCGCUUGCAUCGAGGCGUGCUUGUACGCCCACACAAAGUACCACAUCAAAGCAGCGCAAUCUUCACUGGUGCACAUGGACCAGUUGCUGUACACUGAGCUCUCUCUUAGCAGCUUUUACGGCGCGGUUGCCCACAUCUUCAAGAGUGAGGCCAGCUCGGCUUCCGGCUCACCGCUGCCGUAUCUCCGCGAGUCGAUGCUGCUGUGGGCACUGUGCCACUGCUUCGAGCUGAGGCGUGAGGUGGCGCGAACGACAUUCUGCUGCAAUGUGGGGUGCGCAGGGUGCGGCGUCUCGACGCUCUCCUCAUGCAUCUCGUCACUGUUGCACCACGAGGAGGCCCGGCGCCAUGGACGCCGUGGGACGUGCUUCCGCACCGUCCACUGCCGCAUCGCGUCGAGUGGCCUAUCGGCUGUUUACUUCGCUGCGCAGACGGGUGCGCGGUGUUGCGUCUUCCUGGCCGCGGAGGCGGCAGACUUGACGAGAGCCGAGUACACCUCAAUGAGCGUUCACAUUCAAGAGCACUUGACCUACGCUGGGCAGCAUGUGUUCCGGGUGAUUACAAAGGCAGAUGAGCACCUGCAGAGCAUCUCGGACCUGCGCAAGGAGCUUGAGAACGACACUUCAGUGGCUGCCUUGAUGUCACGGGUUGGUGCACAGAUGUUGGGCGGGUGCGGCACAGAGGAGCAGCGGCUGGUGGUUGCUCUCGCCCCAUCAACCUCUCGACUUGUGGAGCUUAUUGCCUGUACCCCCGCCGAGGUGGAGCAGUACGCGCAGAGGCUGCGCUCAUACUCGGAGGCACUGCUCUUGGACUGUCUCCGCCUUAGCGUUCUUCGAGGGGACGCUGACUGCACGAGGACGGCUUAGGUGCUUGCUGCACUGCAAAUGAGCGCCCGCAUAGCUGAAUGCUAUAGAUGUGCGGCGCCGUGCCGUUAUGGACUUCACUUUGCCACCGUCACACGCGUACACGCGAGGAGAGAGCGAGCGUGUGUGUACGUGCGUGUUUGGUGAAGUGCAGCGUCGGCGGGACUGGAAUCGGAGAGCGCGCGCGAGUGGCUGCGUGGGACGUGGAGCAGCUGACUGGCAGCCGCUUUACUAAAAAUAGAUUACUGCUGUUAUUGCUUGCAUGCCCGACGCCGUGCCACGCGAAUCUGCAGGCCCAGGGGUGCUGCCCCUCCUCCCCUCUCCUCUCUACAGCCACCCUGUACUAUGCAGCAGGCGCCACGUGUGUGCUUGCGCGUUGAGCGUGUCCGCUGCACGAAUCUUGUCACUGCAGCGACUGCCUGAUUUCUCUAUGCCUUCUCGGGCAUGUUGGUGCUGCCGUAGAGGGAGGGUGGAGGGAUAGAGAGAGGAGACCGGCGCACCUGCACGUGCGCGUAUGUGCACGUCGCUCCUCCUUUCUCUCUCCGCCACCUCCGCAUUUCUUAGCGCACGCAGCGUGCGUGAGGGUGUGCGGCGAGGGCGCUCAGUCAACGGCUGCCUUUUCAGUGUCAACGACGAUCUUGGCUUACCUCUAUUCCCGUCCCUCUCCGUGCCUCCUGCAUCUAUUCUCGUCGUCACCACCAUUUGCCUCAUAG
rnacentral:misc_RNA from 1 species